rnacentral:rRNA from 1 species
UUAAGCGACUAAGCGUACACGGUGGAUGCCCUGGCAGUCAGAGGCGAUGAAGGACGUGCUAAUCUGCGAAAAGCGUCGGUAAGGUGAUAUGAACCGUUAUAACCGGCGAUGUCCGAAUGGGGAAACCCAGUGUGAUUCGUCACACUAUCGUUAACUGAAUACAUAGGUUAACGAGGCGAACCGGGGGAACUGAAACAUCUAAGUACCCCGAGGAAAAGAAAUCAACCGAGAUUCCCCCAGUAGCGGCGAGCGAACGGGGAGCAGCCCAGAGUCUGAAUCAGCUUGUGUGUUAGUGGAACGGUCUGGAAAGUCCGACGGUACAGGGUGAUAGUCCCGUACACCAAAAUGCACAGGCUGUGAACUCGAAGAGUAGGGCGGGACACGUGGUAUCCUGUCUGAAUAUGGGGGGACCAUCCUCCAAGGCUAAAUACUCCUGACUGACCGAUAGUGAACCAGUACCGUGAGGGAAAGGCGAAAAGAACCCCGGCGAGGGGAGUGAAAAAGAACCUGAAACCGUGUACGUACAAGCAGUGGGAGCACCUUCGGGUGUGACUGCGUACCUUUUGUAUAAUGGGUCAGCGACUUAUAUUCUGUAGCAAGGUUAACCGUAUAGGGGAGCCGCAGGGAAACCGAGUCUUAACUGGGCGUUAAGUUGCAGGGUAUAGACCCGAAACCCGGUGAUCUAGCCAUGGGCAGGUUGAAGGUUGGGUAACACUAACUGGAGGACCGAACCGACUAAUGUUGAAAAAUUAGCGGAUGACUUGUGGCUGGGGGUGAAAGGCCAAUCAAACCGGGAGAUAGCUGGUUCUCCCCGAAAGCUAUUUAGGUAGCGCCUCGUGAAUUCAUCUUCGGGGGUAGAGCACUGUUUCGGCUAGGGGGUCAUCCCGACUUACCAACCCGAUGCAAACUACGAAUACCGAAGAAUGUUAUCACGGGAGACACACGACGGGUGCUAACGUCCGUCGUGAAGAGGGAAACAACCCAGACCGCCAGCUAAGGUCCCAAAGUCAUGGUUAAGUGGGAAACGAUGUGGGAAGGCACAGACAGCCAGGAUGUUGGCUUAGAAGCAGCCAUCAUUUAAAGAAAGCGUAAUAGCUCACUGGUCGAGUCGGCCUGCGCGGAAGAUGUAACGGGGCUAAACCAUGCACCGAAGCUGCGGCAGCGACACUAUGUGUUGUUGGGUAGGGGAGCGUUCUGUAAGCCUGCGAAGGUGACCUGUGAGGGUUGCUGGAGGUAUCAGAAGUGCGAAUGCUGACAUAAGUAACGAUAAAGCGGGUGAAAAGCCCGCUCGCCGGAAGACCAAGGGUUCCUGUCCAACGUUAAUCGGGGCAGGGUGAGUCGACCCCUAAGGCGAGGCCGAAAGGCGUAGUCGAUGGGAAACAGGUUAAUAUUCCUGUACUUGGUGUUACUGCGAAGGGGGGACGGAGAAGGCUAUGUUAGCCGGGCGACGGUUGUCCCGGUUUAAGCAUGUAGGCUGGUUGUCCAGGCAAAUCCGGAUAAUCAAGGCUGAGGUGUGAUGACGAGGCACUACGGUGCUGAAGUAACAAAUGCCCUGCUUCCAGGAAAAGCCUCUAAGCAUCAGGUAACAUCAAAUCGUACCCCAAACCGACACAGGUGGUCAGGUAGAGAAUACCAAGGCGCUUGAGAGAACUCGGGUGAAGGAACUAGGCAAAAUGGUGCCGUAACUUCGGGAGAAGGCACGCUGGUGUGUAGGUGAAGUCCCUGCGGAUGGAGCUGAGACCAGUCGAAGAUACCAGCUGGCUGCAACUGUUUAUUAAAAACACAGCACUGUGCAAACACGAAAGUGGACGUAUACGGUGUGACGCCUGCCCGGUGCCGGAAGGUUAAUUGAUGGGGUUAUCCGUAAGGAGAAGCUCUUGAUCGAAGCCCCGGUAAACGGCGGCCGUAACUAUAACGGUCCUAAGGUAGCGAAAUUCCUUGUCGGGUAAGUUCCGACCUGCACGAAUGGCGUAAUGAUGGCCAGGCUGUCUCCACCCGAGACUCAGUGAAAUUGAACUCGCUGUGAAGAUGCAGUGUACCCGCGGCAAGACGGAAAGACCCCGUGAACCUUUACUAUAGCUUGACACUGAACAUUGAGCCUUGAUGUGUAGGAUAGGUGGGAGGCUUUGAAGCGUGGACGCCAGUCUGCGUGGAGCCAACCUUGAAAUACCACCCUUUAAUGUUUGAUGUUCUAACGUUGGCCCCUGACCGGGGUUGCGGACAGUGUCUGGUGGGUAGUUUGACUGGGGCGGUCUCCUCCCAAAGCGUAACGGAGGAGCACGAAGGUUAGCUAAUCCUGGUCGGACAUCAGGAGGUUAGUGCAAUGGCAUAAGCUAGCUUGACUGCGAGCGUGACGGCGCGAGCAGGUGCGAAAGCAGGUCAUAGUGAUCCGGUGGUUCUGAAUGGAAGGGCCAUCGCUCAACGGAUAAAAGGUACUCCGGGGAUAACAGGCUGAUACCGCCCAAGAGUUCAUAUCGACGGCGGUGUUUGGCACCUCGAUGUCGGCUCAUCACAUCCUGGGGCUGAAGUAGGUCCCAAGGGUAUGGCUGUUCGCCAUUUAAAGUGGUACGCGAGCUGGGUUUAGAACGUCGUGAGACAGUUCGGUCCCUAUCUGCCGUGGGCGCUGGAGAAUUGAGGGGGGCUGCUCCUAGUACGAGAGGACCGGAGUGGACGCAUCACUGGUGUUCGGGUUGUCAUGCCAAUGGCACUGCCCGGUAGCUAAAUGCGGAAGAGAUAAGUGCUGAAAGCAUCUAAGCACGAAACUUGCCCCGAGAUGAGUUCUCCCUGAGACUAUAAGUCUCCUGAAGGAACGUUAAAGACGAUGACGUUGAUAGGCCGGGUGUGUAAGCGCAGCGAUGCGUUGAGCUAACCGGUACUAAUGAACCGUGAGGCUUAACCUU